rnacentral:misc_RNA from 1 species
CAACAUUAAAAAAAUAUAAACAAACCUUAUUUUUUUCACAAUUUAGUAUUUGCUAGCUUUCCAUAUUUCUAAAACCAAAAAAGAUUUUUCACUGUAAAAAAUAUGGUUGACGAUCUUAGAAAAUACUUGAAUCAUUUACUGGAAAAAGUAAAUGGCCUUCAUUGUAUUUUGAUUACCGAUAGAGAUGGUGUACCCCUUGUGAGGGCGGUAACUGAAAGGGCGCCUCCACUAGCUCUGCGUCCUAACUUCAUAUCCACGUUUGGAAUGGCUACAGAUCAGGCUAGCAAACUUGGAUUGGGCAGAAAUAAAACCAUUAUAUCAAUGUAUUCAAGUUAUCAGGUGGUACAAAUGAGCAAACUACCCUUAGUUAUCACAUUUAUUGGAAGCGACAACUGCAACACUGGUCACAUCUUAUCAUUAGAGAGUCAGAUUGAACCAUUCUUGAAGGACUUGGAGGUGGUAGUUGCAGAUGCACCUUGAAUCAAACAAGCGAAACCAAAAUAUUUCUCAUAAAUUACUCAUAUAAACAUGUUUUUAAAAUAGCCUUUUACAACUCUCUAAAAUAGGUUUAUUAAGGCUAAUGUGGGAUCGAAGUUACAUAUUUAUUUUUCGGUGCUUUUAUGAACUGUAUAUAGUAAUAUGAACAUUGGCAAUGCCUUGCGUUUUUUUACAAUAAUCUGUUUAGCUAAAGUAUAUUGAUGUAAAAUAAGUUAUGUGGAACCCAUCAUAAAGUAAUGCAAAUCUGCAAUUACAUAGAUUAAAUGCAAUAUAAAAGUUUAUCCAAAAACAUUACAUAAUUGCAUAUAUGAAUAUUAUUCGAAUGCUUUGAGUGCAAAUACCUAUAAAAUUUGGUGUUGCCAGUGUCAGUUUUGAACUAUAACAUCUUCUUUUUUUAACUACCUACAUUACUAACAAUGAUAGAAAAGUUUAAAAACUGAAAUAAUUUAUAUUAAUAAGAUGUAUAUAGAAGCAGGGUUGACUGCAUAUAGUUAGUAAUGUGUACAUAUAAGGCAGAUGACGUAUUGGAAUAUGCAAUGCAGCUUGAUGCAGAGAUGCAGUCCAAUAUUCCAGGUAUUUGUUUAAAAAGUGCAUUAUAUGAUUCAUUGAUUUAUGUAUGGACAUGUAGUGAAUACGUCUGGUAUGAUAUUUGCCUAAAAUAUAUUUUUUCUCUAAAAAUGUCAGUAGCUACUUUGAUAUAUUACAACUAGUUUAUGUGUAUUAUCUAUUAUCUAUGGUUACAGUAUCCCUAAAGGUUUAUUGGUGUUUAAUGUAUGUAUAUAUAAUUGAAUUUUGGAAUUGAAAUUCUAAAAUGCUAUUUAAAGUGUCAAAACAUAUAAAGUUAUAAAAAGGAAACUAUUUACGUACCAUUAAAAGUUAACUGUUUUAGUUCUUGUUUUCUUAAUUUUGGGAAUUACCUACUUGUAUAGUUUUCU